rnacentral:rRNA from 1 species
GAACGGUAGCACAGGAGAAGCUUGCUCUCUGGGUGACGAGUGGCGGACGGGUGAGUAAUGUCUGGGAAACUGCCCGAUGGAGGGGGAUAACUACUGGAAACGGUAGCUAAUACCGCAUAACGUCUACGGACCAAAGUGGGGGACCUUCGGGCCUCACACCAUCGGAUGUGCCCAGAUGGGAUUAGCUUGUUGGUGAGGUAAUGGCUCACCAAGGCGACGAUCCCUAGCUGGUCUGAGAGGAUGACCAGCCACACUGGAACUGAGACACGGUCCAGACUCCUACGGGAGGCAGCAGUGGGGAAUAUUGCACAAUGGGCGCAAGCCUGAUGCAGCCAUGCCGCGUGUAUGAAGAAGGCCUUCGGGUUGUAAAGUACUUUCAGCGGGGAGGAAGGGGAGUGAGGUUAAUAACCUCGUUCAUUGACGUUACCCGCAGAAGAAGCACCGGCUAACUCCGUGCCAGCAGCCGCGGUAAUACGGAGGGUGCAAGCGUUAAUCGGAAUUACUGGGCGUAAAGCGCACGCAGGCGGUCU